rnacentral:rRNA from 1 species
GACGAACGCUGGCGGCGUGCUUAACACAUGCAAGUCGAACGGAAAGGCCCUGCUUUUGUGGGGUGCUCGAGUGGCGAACGGGUGAGUAACACGUGAGUAACCUGCCCUUGACUUUGGGAUAACUUCAGGAAACUGGGGCUAAUACCGGAUAGGAGCUCCUGCUGCACGGUGGGGGUUGGAAAGUUUCGGCGGUUGGGGAUGGACUCGCGGCUUAUCAGCUUGUUGGUGGGGUAGUGGCUUACCAAGGCUUUGACGGGUAGCCGGCCUGAGCGGGUGACCGGCCACAUUGGGACUGGGAGACGGCCCAAACUCCUACGGGAGGCAGCAGUGGGGAAUAUUGCACAAUGGGCGGAAGCCUGAUGCAGCAACGCCGCGUGCGGGAUGACGGCCUUCGGGUUGUAAACCGCUUUCGCCUGUGACGAAGCGUGAGUGACGGUAAUGGGUAAAGAAGCACCGGCUAACUACGUG